rnacentral:rRNA from 1 species
CAUAUCACUAAGGGAAGGAAAAGAAAACAACUGUGAUUCCGUUAGUAACGGCGAGUGAACACGGAUUAGCUCAUCAAUGAAGAGUACCAUUUAUUAUGGCGCUCGGUGUUUGGUUACGGAUUGUGACUAGAUUGUUGUGACACACCGCAAUCCUGUUGGAAUGCAUGACCGCAGAGGGUAAUAGUCCCGUGAAAGUGUGCUCACAUCAGUCAACGGUCCAAUCUAGAGAGUAGAGUUACUUGAGAUCGUAACUCAAAGUGGAGAUAUGUCUCUCCAAAAGCUAAAUAUAAUGCGAGACCGAUAGCAAACAAGUACCGUGAGGGAAAGUUGAAAAGCACUCUGAAGAGAGAGUGAAAAGUACGUGAAACCGUUGAAAGGGAAAGGAAGAGAGUGUUAAACUCUUCAAUGCCGUGCAUGAUGCAUGGUUGACGGAAGGAUGUAGUUGAUUGCCCCAAGUUCAUUGUAAAGGUUCUUUAGCUAUGUCUCGUUUCGACUUGAUGUAGUAUAACCUUAAAUUGAAUUAGAUACUAUCUUUUUCUGUUUUGACAAGGGCGAUCAGCUUCAUUUUCAAUGCUCUCUCCCACCCGUCUUGAAACACGGACCAAGGAGUGUGGGUUGCUCGCAAGUGAUUGUACGUAUUGAAUGUACAUACGCGAAGUGAAAGCAAAUAUGUGGCCUUGCGCUGCAUGCUAGUGGUGAUAGCGCUGUAACAGUGUCUCGCAACCACGGACGGUUUUGCCAACAAGCGCAUAAUCGAUCUUGAGCGAGUAACACACGACCCGAAAGAUGGUGAUCUAUGCUUGGGUAGAGCGAAGCCACGGGAAACCAUGGUGGAAGCUCGAAGCGGUUCUGACGUGCAAAUCGAUCGUCUAACCUGAGUAUAGGGGCGAAAGACUAAUCGAACCAUCUAGUAGCUGGUUCCCUCCGAAGUUUCCCUCAGGAUAGCAAAGGCUCAUAAAUGAAACUUGAACAGUUUCAUCGGGUAAAGCGAAUGAUUAGAGGCAUGGGGAAAUCCGAAUUCUUCACCUAUUCUCAAACUUUAAAUCGGUGAGAUGUCCUUGUGACUUGAUUGCACUUGGACUUUGAAUGCGAGCCUUUAGUGGGCCGUUUUUGGUAAGCAGAACCGGCGAUGUGGGAUGAACCAAAUGUUGGGUUAAGGCGCCUAACUACUUGCUCAUGAGUAACCAUAAAAGGUGUUGAUUGAUAUUGACAGCAGGACGGUGGCCAUGGAAGUCGGAAUCCGCUAAGGAGUGUGUAACAACUCACCUGCCGAAUCAAUCAGCCCUGAAAAUGGAUGGCACUUGAGCUAGUGGCCUAUACCCAACCAUGAACAGCAAAGUCUGAUGCAUGGCCUUCGGGUCUCAAAUCGGAACAAGCCAAUGGCUUUUACAAGGAUAUGUUCAUGAGUAGGAGGGAACAAUGGUUGCAUUAAAGUAUGCGCGUGAGCGUAUGCGUCAAGCGAUCAUUGGCUCAGAUCUUGGUGGUAGUAGCAAGUACUCAAAUAUGAACUUUGAGGACUGAAGCGGGAAAGGUUUUCAUGUGAACAGUGUUUGAACAUGAGUUAGUCGAUUCUGAAACACAGGCUAACGCCUAUUGUACUGCGGUAUUUACUUACUGCUUGGUGUUGAAAGAGUAUUGGGUUAAUAUUCCCAAACUGUCCCUAUCGGUUUUUAACGGCGGUAACGCUAGCGUAACUUAACAAGGCAUUGUGAACCUGGUGAAGAGUUUUCUUUUCUUUAUAACCGGCAGUGCUACCUUGGAAUUGAUUCAAUCAGAGAUAAGGAGCCGAGGCUGGGAAGAGCACAACAGCAUUUGUUGUGUACCAGUUGUUCGCAAUGUCCCUUGAAGGUUAAGUGAAGCUUGAUAUCAAUAGGGACAAUCGUACCGAGAACCGCAUCAGGUCCCCAAGGUUAAAAGCCUCUGGUCUUGGAACAGUGUAGGUAAGGGAAGUCGGCAAAAUAGAUCCGUACCUUUGGAAGAAGGAUUGGCUCUGAUGGUUGGGUGUGACAAGCCAUUAGGCUGAAACGGUGGUACAUGAUGGCAUGCGACGUUGGACCCCUUCACGGGGGGACGAUGUUGGUGCUAUUGUGGACUUACUGUGGACUGCCUUUUGGUCGUCUGUCUCACGUUUAACAACCGAGCUCAGAACUGGUUCGGANANAAGGAAUCCGACUGGUUAAUUAAACCAAAGCAUUGCGAUGGCUGGUGAACUGGUGUUGACGCAAUGUGAUUUCUGCCCAGUGCUCUGAAUGUCAAAGUGAAGAAAUUCAAUAAAGCGCGGGUAAACGGCGGGAGUAACUAUGACUCUCUUAAGGUAGCCAAAUGCCUCGUCAUCUAAUUAGUGACGCGCAUGAAUGGAUUAACGAGAUUCCUACUGUCCCUAUCUACUAUCCAGCGAAACCACAGCCUAGGGAACGGGCUAGGCGUAAUCAGCGGGGAAAGAAGACCCUGUUGAGCUUGACUCUAGUCUGAUUUUGUGAAGUGGCUCGAAAGGUGUAGAAUAGGGGGGAGGUUUACGCCGAAAGUGAAAUACCCCUACUUUCGUUGCCACUUUACUAAUCCAGUGAAGAUGCAAGACCUUUAAUCGGGUUCUAUUUGGAAGAAAGGUUGUAAAUGCUUAACGGCAUAGCAAACGAGCAUACCUGGAGACAGAAUCAGGUGGGGAGUUUGACUGGGGCGGUACAUCUGUAAAAAGAUAACGCAGGUGUCCUAAGGCUGACUCAGCGGGGACAGAAACCUCGCGUAGAGCAAAAGGGCAAAUGUCAGCUUGAUCUUGAUUUUCAGUGUGAUUACAGACUGCGAAAGCGU